rnacentral:rRNA from 1 species
GACGAACGCUGACGGCGUGCUUAACACAUGCAAGUCGAAGGGAGUGGCGAACGGGUGAGUAACCCGUGAGUAACCUGCCCUUUUCUUUGGGAUAAGCCUGGGCAACUGGGUCUAAUACUGGAUGGUGUGGGAUGGGCUCGCGGCUUAUUAGCUUGUUGGUGGGGUGAUGGCUUACCAAGGCUUUGCCGGGUAGCGUGCCUGAGAGGUCGCUCGGUCACACGGGGACUGAGAUACGGCCCAGACGCCUACGGGAUGCAGCAGUGUGGGUUAUGGCCCAAUGGACGAAAGUCUGAUGCCGCGACGUCGUGGGGGGCAUGAAGGCCUUCGGGUUGUAAACUCCUUUCGCCAGCGGAAUGGUAGUGGGUAAAGAAGCGCCGGCUAACUACGUGCCAGCCGCCGCGGUAAUUC